AUGUGGCUGGUUUUACCCUUCCAGGUUGACAGUGGUGAUAAGAGAAAUCUAUUUGGGACUAUACUUCAGGCAAAGAGAAGAACUGAUGUUCAGACUUACAAAAGAGGUAGAACAUAUAUGCUUCCCAUUAUGCGAGAAAGAAACAGGCCUGAGAGUCUAAUGGAUUACUCAAGUCUAUGCUGCCAAGGAAGAACAGAAUCUUUAGUUUGAAAACUCCCCGUUCGGACCACGCUGGGUUGCAUACCCAAUCAUUAUAGCCAAAAUUCCAGGUAUCACAAAUUUCCAUUAAAACCAAAGAUUUAAAGUGGGAUAAGGGAAAAAUGAACAACUUCCUCUACACACUUCAGAAGGGGGCAAGCCUUCCUUAAAGUGGUAGAGGAGGGCUAGACAGAGGGCAUGUCCACCAGACUCUUGGAGGGUAUGUCAAAGGCAGCCACUGAUUUGAUAGACAAAGGAUACUGAGAAUUUUUCCAAAGCCAAAUGUAAGUAUUCUAAAUCUGAGGAUCAAAUUUAAUACCAGUUAAGAAAGAGUGUCCUAGUAUAGAAAAACAAAACAAAACAAAGAUGCAAACAAAUGAACACCAUCCAGGGAGUCAGCCUGAAGGUGGCAUGAACAGCUGAAGGUGGAUAUGUUUUGCUGCACAAUUAUUUACUUGCAUGGACAGGUUUGACAGGACAGCCGUAAGAGUGAAAAUAUUGUAUUCUGAUGAUAGUCCUACACUUCAUGUUGGAAACCAGGGUUGAAGAACUUACUUUGUCUUUUACUAUUUUGGGUAUCUUAAUUAAGUUAUUUAACAUCUAUGAGCCUCUAAUACCUUGGAUUUUUAAACCAAAAACUAUCUAAGACAGGUCUCAAUCAAUUUAGUUUAUUUUGCCAAAGUUAAGGACAUGCCUGGAAAAAAUAAACAUGGAAUCACAGAAACAGUCUGUGGCCUGUGCCUUUCUCCGAAGAUGAUUUUGAGGGCUUCAAUAAGUAAAGGGGAAAAGUGGGCUAGAGGAGAAAGAGGGAGGGUAUGAUAAUCCACAUGUUAUAAGAGAAAAGGAGCAGAUAGUGGAAGAGUUAAUUAUGUAUUUCUCUUGUGCUCAGUAAAUCUAGUACUUUACAUAGGAUAAGGUGAACAUACAUCCUACCUGUGGAGAUAUUUAACAUUUUAUCUAUAGCUAUCUGCUUAGUAACAAAAGAAAAGGCAGCUUCUUAAAUGACUUAGCUUUCAGCUUAAUUUUUUUCUUUUGGUGUAGUGAAUUGGGGUCCUGAGUUUUUAUUUUCCAUUUGCAGAUUCAAAAUGGAAGAAGUAAUUCACCUUGUCUAUGAUAUCUGGCACAUAAUAAGUGCUCAAUAAAUAAAUGUAUGACAUUAAGCAUUGUAACAUAAUACCUUGUAAUACAUAUUUAUAAACUAAGUACUCUAACAUAAUCAAAUAUUAUUCUCAUUUGCAGUAAUCAUUCAGAUCUCUAGGACUAAAGAAAAAUCCAGAGAUGUGGGGAAAGGACUCUAAGCUUAUCUAUUUAUUUUUAAUAUGAAACACAUUUCAUCUAUUUUAACCUGGCAUAAAAAGUAUGGCACCUUAGAAUUUUGUGAAAUGGUGAGGUACACAUUAUUAAUGCCUACUAGUUUUCCCUGUUUUCCUUGGCAUUUUGGUAACUGGACUUUCUAAUCCCCUUGCAGUUGGGCAGAUUCAUGUGACAAGUUCUGACUAAUGAAUCGAGAAGGGGAGUGGCUGUGCUGCUUCCAUGUGGAGAUUUGAGAAGCUCCCUAACAAUUCUCAUAUUUGUCUUACUAAUGUUAUGGUAGUUACAUAGUUUGAAUGUAUCCACCAAAAGUUCAGGUGUUAGAACCUUAAUUUCUUACUGUAGCAGUGUUGGGAGGUGGAGCCUAGUGGGAGGUGCUUUGGUUGUGUGGCCUCUCAUGAAAGGAUUAAUGUCAUUCUUAAAGGAAUAUGCCAGUUUUUGUGGGAGGGAGUGAGUUAUCAUGAGAGCGAGUUGUUAUAAAAAGCAAGCUUGGCUUCCUCUCUGGCCAUGUGAUAUCUCCUACCAUGUUAUAAAACAGCAGGAGGCCCUAGUCUGAUGCUUGAACCAUAUUCUUGGACCUUCCAGCAUCCAGGACCAUGAGCCAAAAUAAACCUCCAUUCUUUAUCAAUUACCCAGUCUGUGGUAUUCUGCUAUAGCAACAGAAAAUGGACUAAGACAAAUGGUAUUCACUGACAAAGUUUAGUACUGAUUUCUCAGAACCCUGAAGAGUUUUCCCAAACCAGGUUAGAAUUGCAAAAAUAAAGUUUUGCUGCAUAAAGUCUCCAGUUUGGGAGUUUUUCUUAAGGUAACACAUAUAGGCAAUGCUCAGAAUGCAGGAGGCUUGAUACUCCAGUUCUUAAGUACUAUUCUCUGAUUCCUGAUAUCAGACUCUAGUUAGAGCCUCUUUUGUUUAUCCAAAACACAUCUUGACCCUGGCAAAUCUUUGCUAAGGUGUAACUUUCUCUGUUUAGAAUUUGUUCCUGGAUGGGGAUUGUUUUGAAUUUGCAAAAACACAAAGUUUACUUAAAGUAAAAUCAUUAUGUUACUUUGUUUCUUUCUAAUGCUGUUUCCAUUCUUUUAGUGUACUUUAGAACAGUUUAUGAUAAUCAGUAUCUCUCCCUCCCUACUUCAGAAUGAUGCGAAGACUUUAAAGUUCUUUAACUCCUCCAAUCUCUC
ensembl:lncRNA